rnacentral:rRNA from 1 species
CCCUUAGGCGUUCUGGGCCGCACGCGCGCUACACUGACAAAGGCAACGAGCUACUCUUCACCGAAAGGUGUGGGUAAUCUUUUGAAACUUUGUCGUGCUGGGGAUAGAUCCUUGCAAUUUUUGAUCUUAAACGAGGAAUUCCUAGUAAGCGCAAGUCAUCAACUUGCGUUGAUUACGUCCCUGCCCUUUGUACACACCGCCCGUCGCUACUACCGAUUGAAUGGUUUAGUGAGGCCUUCGGAUCCGCGACUCGUUUGUGGAGAAGUUGGACAAACUCAGUCAUUUAGAGGAAGUAAAAGUCGUAACA